AAUCAACGCUGGCGGCGUGCCUCAGACAUGCAAGUCGAACGAUUAAAGCUCUCUUCGGAGAGUGUAUAGAGUGGCGCACGGGUGAGUAACACGUAAGUAAUCUACCUUUGAGUGGGGAAUAACAAUCGGAAACGAUUGCUAAUACCGCAUAAUGCAGCGGCAUCGCAAGAUGACAGUUGUUAAAGGAGCAAUCCGCUUAAAGAGGAGCUUGCGGCAGAUUAGCUAGUUGGUAAGGUAAUGGCUUACCAAGGCUACGAUCUGUAUCCGGUCUAAGAGGACGGUCGGACACACUGACACUGAAUAACGGGUCAGACUCCUACGGGAGGCAGCAGUCGGGAAUUUGGGUCGAAUGGGCGAAAGCCUGACCCAGCAACGCCGCGUGAAGGAUGAAGUAUUUCGGUAUGUAAACUUCGAAAGAAUAGGAAGAAUAAAUGACGGUACUA
rnacentral:rRNA from 1 species